GUAGAUAUAGUUUAACUAAAAUAUUAGAUUGUGAUUCUAAAGAAGGAAGUUAAAAUCUCCCUAUCCACC
rnacentral:tRNA from 4 species